UGUGGCGUCCGAUAGUUUUGACGCGUUUGGUUGUGUGACGCUGCCGGGAUUGACUGUUAAUCAAUUGGUCGUAGGUUCGAUCCCUACCGCCGGAGCCA
rnacentral:tRNA from 2 species